UAGUGAGUUUGAUCCUGGCUCAGGACGAACGCUGGCGGCGUGCCUAAUACAUGCAAGUCGAGCGCAGGAAGCUCACGGAACUCUUCGGAGGGAAGUGAAGGGAAUGAGCGGCGGACGGGUGAGUAACACGUAAGGAACCUGCCCCAAGGAUUGGGAUAACUCCGAGAAAUCGGCGCUAAUACCGAAUAGUUCUCAGACCGCAUGGUCUGAUGAUGAAAGGCGCUUCGGCGUCACCUUGGGAUGGCCUUGCGGUACAUUAGCUAGUUGGUGGGGUAAUGGCCCACCAAGGCGACGAUGCAUAGCCGACCUGAGAGGAUGAUCGGCCACACUGGGGACUGAGACACGGCCCAGACUCCUACGGGGAGGCAGCAGUGGGGGAAUAUU
rnacentral:rRNA from 1 species